UACGUAGGGUGCAAGCGUUAAUCGGAAUUACUGGGCGUAAAGCGUGCGCAGGCGGCUUUGCAAGACAGAUGUGAAAUCCCCGGGCUUAACCUGGGAACUGCAUUUGUGACUGCAUGGCUGGAGUGCGGCAGAGGGGGAUGGAAUUCCGCGUGUAGCAGUGAAAUGCGUAGAUAUGCGGAGGAACACCGAUGGCGAAGGCAAUCCCCUGGGCCUGCACUGACGCUCAUGCACGAAAGCGUGGGGAGCGAACAGGAAUUAGAUACCCCGGG
rnacentral:rRNA from 1 species